rnacentral:rRNA from 1 species
UACAGAGGUCUCAAGCGUUGUUCGGAUUCAUUGGGCGUAAAGGGUGUGUAGGUGGCGCCGUAAGUCGGGUGUGAAAUUUCGGAGCUUAACUCCGAAACUGCAUUCGAUACUGCGGUGCUUGAGGACUGGAGAGGAGACUGGAAUUCAUGGUGUAGCAGUGAAGUGCGUAGAGAUCAUGAGGAAGACCAGUGGCGAAGGCGGGUCUCUGGACAGUUCCUGACACUGAGACACGAAGGCCAGGGGAGCAAACGGG